GCUUACAUAUAGGCUUGUAUCAACUUAUUUUGAAUUAAUAAAAAAGAGCAAUUAUUACAUAUAUUCCUUUAUUUUUUAGCAUUUCUUUUCCUUCAAAUUAGAAUUAGCCUCAGCCACUCUCCUUUCUUUUACCUCUUCUAUUUUAUUCAGGUCCCCAUUUUUAACAUAUUAUCCAACAGAUUCAACUCCGUCAAUCUAAAGGUGGGCAAAGAUUGAAGAGACGAUUGAUUUCCAUCCCAUAUGAUCACAAGCCAGCUGCAAAGUUUGGAGAAUUGCAAAAAGCUCAGCCACCUCAGGGAUAUUAAUAGAGGUCUUCGAGAGAGAACUUUAAGAACUCUGCCACCAUGACUUCUAGCUUCAUUACCAUGGUAGCCAGCUCCAUUCUUAGCAGCAGCAUCCGAAUUCAUCUUCACUACACUAGGAUUGGGAGGAUUCCAGGUCACUGGCUCAGCGGGAUUAGUAAGAGACAAGGCAGGAGAGGUCUUGACACUCAUCGCUCAACCUCCAAAUAGCAUCAAAAGUAAAGGCAGCAAACACAAUGAGUUGGUUACACCUUGAGUGGCGCACUAAUGCUAUACUAGCCAAAUCCCAAGAGAUCAAAGAAAAAGAAAUUAAAAUUCAAAUACUUUCAUAUAACUGUUUUUCAUUAUAGUCAUAAUCAUAUAUGACUACUUUAAUAAUAUUAUUAACUAAAAACCAUCUAAUAAUAAUGGCAUUGUCAUUCCCCACCUUA